rnacentral:lncRNA from 1 species
GAGAGAGAAAAGUUUGUAUUAUUCAUUUUUUUCCUUCAAUUUUCGGGGACUCUCUUUCUCAAUCCUCUAUCUUCUUCUUCAACAGGUCCAUAGGCACCAUAACCACAAAUAAUCUUGGUCUUCAAACAAAUUAACAUGAAUAAAUGUCUAAAAUCAUUGAGAAGCAAAUCAAGUCUUUUCCCCUUGACAAUAUUUUUGGAAGCAGAAUUUAUGAAUCACUCACACCUCCAUUGGUCUUGCUAAUUGGACCCAAAAGCUCCUCUUAUGGUUUUCAAUGAAUUUGA